UUACAGUUAAUCUAAAAUCAUUUAAAAAUUCAUUAAAACUUAAAUCAUUUAAAAUUUUAAAUAGGGUACGUCCAUUAAUUCUCUUUUUAUUCUUUUCACAUUUUGAAGUAAAUUAGUCAAUGUUGUUUUCUAGAAAAGCACCUGAAAAUAAAUAUAACCUAAAAGCAAAAAAAACGAUGGUUCUAUAUAACAAUCUAACAUUUGCUUUUGUCAAAGUGCAUCUCUGUUAUUGUUAUUAAAAGAGAAAUAUCCUUUAAAAAAUAUCCCUAAGUUUUCUAACUUAUUUACAUUUUCAUGCCAUCGAAAAUUAAAUUAAACGACCUAUUUUAAUACUUGUCUUUUCUAGUUAAAUUAAUGAGUUUUCCUUAAUCAAAUUUAAAUUUAAUGUCAUUAAAUAAACCUACAUAUUUUAAUGCUUGUCUUUUCCCGUUAAAUUAAUGAGUUUUCCUUAAUCAAAUUUAAACUUAAUGUCAUUAAAUAAAUCUAAAAAUACAUCAUAUUUAACGUAGCUUAUUACGUACGAG
rnacentral:lncRNA from 1 species